rnacentral:rRNA from 1 species
CCUACGGGAGGCAGCAGUGAGGAAUCUUGCGCAAUGGGCGAAAGCCUGACGCAGCGACGCCGCGUGAAGGAAGAAGCCCUUCGGGGUGUAAACUUCUUUUAUCGGGGACGAAAUCUGACGGUACCCGAUGAAUAAGCCUCGGCUAACUACGUGCCAGCAGCCGCGGUAAUACGUAGGAGGCAAGCGUUAUCCGGAUUUACUGGGCGUAAAGAGUGCGUAGGUGGUUCGAUAGAUUUUUGGUUAAAUUCUUGGGCUUAACUAAAGAGCUGCCAAAAAUAUCAUCGGACUUGAGAUCAGAAGGGGCAGGUGAAAUUUUCGGUGUAGGAGUGAAAUCCGUUGAUAUCGAAAAGAACACCAAUGGCGAAGGCGGCCUGCUAGUCUGGUUCUGACACUGAGGCACGAAAGCGUGGGGAGUGAAAGGGAUUAGAUCCCCCGGUAGU